CCUACGGGAGGCAGCAGUGAGGAAUAUUGGUCAAUGGGCUUACGCCUGCACCAGCCAAUUCGCGUGAGGGAAGACGGUCCUAUGGAUUGUAAACCUCUUUUGUCUGGGAGCAAAAGACGCCACGCGUGGCGUUCCGAGAGUACCCGAAGAAAAAGCAUCGGCUAACCCCGUGCCAGCAGCCGCGGGAAUACGGAGGAUGAGAGCGUUAUCCGGAUUUAUUGGGUUUAAAGGGUGCGCAGGCGGAAGAUCAAGUCAGCGGUAAAAUUGAGAGGCUCAACCUCUUCGAGCCGUUGAAACUGGUUUUCUUGAGUGAGCGAGAAGUAUGCGGAAGCAGUGGUGUAGCGGUGAAAUGCAUAGAUAUCACGCAGAACUCCGAUUGCGAAGGCAGCAGACCGGCGCUCAACUGACGCUCAUGCACGAAAGUGUGGGUAUCGAACAGGAUUAGAUACCCCAGUAGUC
rnacentral:rRNA from 1 species